rnacentral:lncRNA from 1 species
AUUCAUUUCUUGGUAACUGCCCCUAAAAUGUUUACCGCAUGAAAAGUUUGCAGUUUUCGAUUAUUGUCUUGAAUAUUAUUAUAGAUAGAGAGAACUUUAAACCGUAUGAAAAGUUUGCAGUUUUCGAUUAUUGUCUUGAAUAUUAUUAUAGAUAGGGAGAAACGUUAAACAGCAAAAACGUCAACAAAAUAGAAACUACGAAUAAGUUGGUAUGACUGAAAUUGUCAAUCUCCCAUUAUUGACAAUGGACGAUUUUUACAAUUAUUUGGUUGUUUUUAAACUAUGACAAAAAUUAUGACAGAAACAGAAAAACUAAAUUACAUUUUUGAUACACUAAAUAUAAAAAAGAAGAUGUGGUAUGAUUGCCAAUGAGACAACUAUCCACAAAAGACCAAAAUGACACAGACAUUAACAACUAUAGGUCACCGUUCGGCCUUCAACAAUUAGCAAAGCCCAUACCGCAUAGUGAGCUAUAAAAGGCCCCGAUAAGACAAUGUAAAACAAUUCAAACGAGAAAACUAACGGCCUUAUUUAUGUAAAAAAAAACAUAGUUUUAACAUCACAGUGUCACCACAGGUAACCUUUCUGCACUAAAUUGUAAUUUUGUUAGCCUGUUCAAUUAACUACACAAUUCACUUAAACUUUUACUGGCAAGAGAGUAUACUACAUUUUAUAAAUGCAAUUUUGGGUCCAAAUGAUGACUUUUAUCAUACCUCCUUCUUAUGAUAAAAUAUUUAUAUCGUUUACUUUAGAUUU